rnacentral:rRNA from 1 species
GGUAGCCGGCCUGANANGGUGACCGGCCACACUGGGACUGANACACGGCCCAGACUCCUACGGGAGGCAGCAGUGGGGAAUAUUGCACAAUGGGCGCAAGCCUGAUGCAGCAACGCCGCGUGAGGGACGACGGCCUUCGGGUUGUAAACCUCUUUUAGCAGGGAAGAAGCGAAAGUGACGGUACCUGCAGAAAAAGCGCCGGCUAACUACGUGCCAGCAGCCGCGGUAAUACGUAGGGCGCAAGCGUUAUCCGGAAUUAUUGGGCGUAAAGAGCUCGUAGGCGGUUUGUCGCGUCUGCUGUGAAAUCCGGAGGCUCAACCUCCGGCCUGCAGUGGGUACGGGCAGACUAGAGUGCGGUAGGGGA